AAAGAGCUCAUCCUACAAGGAUGCUUUGAAGGUCCAAGAAGCACUAUCCACUCCAUGGGAGACCCGAAGUUCUGAACAUCAGCAUGUGAGUCAGUGAUGCAGCUUGUCACAGGACGUCAGCGUUCAGAGAAAGCAGCAGGUCCAUUUGGCACAGUGUCAUCAUCAUGUCAGGACAGGAGAACAAUUUCAUCAACCUCAGCUUUCUCCGCCUCUUCCGUGCUGCCCGGCUCAUCAAGCUGCUGCGCCGAGGCUACACCAUCCGCAUCCUGCUGUG